rnacentral:rRNA from 1 species
UACAGAGGGUGCAAGCGUUAAUCGGAAUUACUGGGCGUAAAGCGCGCGUAGGCGGUUGUGCAAGUUGGAUGUGAAAUCCCCGGGCUUAACCUGGGCACGGCAUUCAAAACUGCACGGCUAGAGUAUGGGAGAGGAAGGUAGAAUUCCAGGUGUAGCGGUGAAAUGCUUAGAGAUCUGGAGGAAUACCGAUGGCGAAGGCAGCCUUCUGGCCUAAUACUGACGCUGAGGUGCGAAAGCAUGGGGAG